rnacentral:rRNA from 1 species
AUGAUUCACGUUCGACCUUUCGGUCUCCAGUGUUCCAAGGCCAUGUUUGUACAUGCUAGGCUCGUCAUGUUUAAUUCGAGUAUUCCGCAUGUGAAAAAUUGUGUUGCACCCAUUGUAUGUGUACGUAGAGCCUAUCACACCCGAUCAUCACGUGGUGUGUCAACACGAAGAACUAUCGCAACGGUGCAUACUCAGGGAGAACACUUAUACCUUGAAAUUUUAGUGAAGGGAUCAUCUUAUAAUUCUAUCGCCGUACUAAGCAAAAUAAGAUGCAUAAAGAUAAACAUCACAUGCAAUCAAAAUAUUUGA